AGAGUUUGAUCAUGGCUCAGAUUGAACGCUGGCGGCAGGCCUAACACAUGCAAGCCGAGCGGAUGAAGGGAGCUUGCUCCUGGAUUCAGCGGCGGACGGGUGAGUAAUGUCUGGGAAACUGCCUGAUGGAGGGGGAUAACUACUGGAAACGGUAGCUAAUACCGCAUAACGUCGCAAGACCAAAGAGGGGGACCUUCGGGCCUCUUGCCAUCGGAUGUGCCCAGAUGGGAUUAGCUAGUAGGUGGGGUAACGGCUCACCUAGGCGACGAUCCCUAGCUGGUCUGAGAGGAUGACCAGCCACACUGGAACUGAGACACGGUCCAGACUCCUACGGGAGGCAGCAGUGGGGAAUAUUGCACAAUGGGCGCAAGCCUGAUGCAGCCAUGCCGCGUGUAUGAAGAAGGCCUUCGGGUUGUAAAGUACUUUCAGCGGGGAGGAAGGGAGUAAAGUUAAUACCUUUGCUCAUUGACGUUACCCGCAGAAGAAGCACCGGCUAACUCCGUGCCAGCAGCCGCGGU
rnacentral:rRNA from 1 species